GGGCUUGUAAGUAAGUAUUUCAUGGUAAGGUCUACACUGUUGGUUAUGGGCUUGUAAGUAAGUAUUUCAUGGUAAGGUCUACACUGUUGGUUAAGGGCUUGUAAAGUAAGUAUUUCAUGGUAAGGUCUACACUGUUGGUUAUGGGCUUGUAAGUAAGUAUUUCAUGGUAAGGUCUACACUGUUGGUUAAGGGCUUGUAAAGUAAGUAUUUCAUGGUAAGGUCUACACUGUUGGUUAAGGGCUUGUAAAGUAAGUAUUUCAUGGUAAGGUCUACACUGUUGGUUAAGGGCUUGUAAAGUAAGUAUUUCAUGGUAAGGUCUACACUGUUGGUUAAGGGCUUGUAAAGUAAGUAUUUCAUGGUAAGGUCUACACUGUUGGUUAAGGGCUUGUAAAGUAAGUAUUUCAUGGUAAGGUCUACACUGUUGGUUAAGGGCUUGUAAAGUAAGUAUUUCAUGGUAAGGUCUACACUGUUGGUUAAGGGCUUGUAAAGUAAGUAUUUCAUGGUAAGGUCUACACUGUUGGUUAAGGGCUUGUAAAGUAAGUAUUUCAUGGUAAGGUCUACACUGUUGGUUAAGGGCUUGUAAAGUAAGUAUUUCAUGGUAAGGUCUACACUGUUGGUUAAGGGCUUGUAAAGUAAGUAUUUCAUGGUAAGGUCUACACUGUUGGUUAAGGGCUUGUAAAGUAAGUAUUUCAUGGUAAGGUCUACACUGUUGGUUAAGGGCUUGUAAAGUAAGUAUUUCAUGGUAAGGUCUACACUGUUGGUUAAGGGCUUGUAAGUAAGCAUUUCACCAUAAGGUCUAUGUUGUAUUCGACGCAUGUGACAAAUACAAUUUGAUUUGAUACUAUAUACUCUAAUUAUUCCUCUUCACAACUUAAAAUAUAAAUGAAAAAAUGCUUUUAAUUAGUUUUUCAUAUCUUGCCACCAUCAUACUAGAAUAGGCUUUUCCUCUUUCUCCCAUUCCUCUUUUAAUGUUACUCUCCUCCUCCUCGGCGUCCUAGCUCCCUCCUUUACAUUUUUCCAUUCUCUCAUUCCAUCCCUUUGUCGUUGUAACUCAUCUUUUAGUGUGUCGUCUUAUGGUGGACACCUUCCACUCAGCAACACCAUU